GGUUAAGCGACUAAGCGUACACGGUGGAUGCCCUGGCAGUCAGAGGCGAUGAAGGACGUGCUAAUCUGCGAUAAGCGUCGGUAAGGUGAUAUGAACCGUUAUAACCGGCGAUUUCCGAAUGGGGAAACCCAGUGUGAUUCGUCACACUAUCAUUAACUGAAUCCAUAGGUUAAUGAGGCGAACCGGGGGAACUGAAACAUCUAAGUACCCCGAGGAAAAGAAAUCAACCGAGAUUCCCCCAGUAGCGGCGAGCGAACGGGGAGCAGCCCAGAGCCUGAAUCAGUGUGUGUGUUAGUGGAAGCGUCUGGAAAGGCGCGCGAUACAGGGUGACAGCCCCGUACACAAAAAUGCACAUGCUGUGAGCUCGAUGAGUAGGGCGGGACACGUGGUAUCCUGUCUGAAUAUGGGGGGACCAUCCUCCAAGGCUAAAUACUCCUGACUGACCGAUAGUGAACCAGUACCGUGAGGGAAAGGCGAAAAGAACCCCGGCGAGGGGAGUGAAAAAGAACCUGAAACCGUGUACGUACAAGCAGUGGGAGCACGCUUAGGCGUGUGACUGCGUACCUUUUGUAUAAUGGGUCAGCGACUUAUAUUCUGUAGCAAGGUUAACCGAAUAGGGGAGCCGAAGGGAAACCGAGUCUUAACUGGGCGUUAAGUUGCAGGGUAUAGACCCGAAACCCGGUGAUCUAGCCAUGGGCAGGUUGAAGGUUGGGUAACACUAACUGGAGGACCGAACCGACUAAUGUUGAAAAAUUAGCGGAUGACUUGUGGCUGGGGGUGAAAGGCCAAUCAAACCGGGAGAUAGCUGGUUCUCCCCGAAAGCUAUUUAGGUAGCGCCUCGUGAAUUCAUCUCCGGGGGUAGAGCACUGUUUCGGCAAGGGGGUCAUCCCGACUUACCAACCCGAUGCAAACUGCGAAUACCGGAGAAUGUUAUCACGGGAGACACACGGCGGGUGCUAACGUCCGUCGUGAAGAGGGAAACAACCCAGACCGCCAGCUAAGGUCCCAAAGUCAUGGUUAAGUGGGAAACGAUGUGGGAAGGCCCAGACAGCCAGGAUGUUGGCUUAGAAGCAGCCAUCAUUUAAAGAAAGCGUAAUAGCUCACUGGUCGAGUCGGCCUGCGCGGAAGAUGUAACGGGGCUAAACCAUGCACCGAAGCUGCGGCAGCGACGCUGAUGCGUUGUUGGGUAGGGGAGCGUUCUGUAAGCCUGCGAAGGUGUGCUGUGAGGCAUGCUGGAGGUAUCAGAAGUGCGAAUGCUGACAUAAGUAACGAUAAAGCGGGUGAAAAGCCCGCUCGCCGGAAGACCAAGGGUUCCUGUCCAACGUUAAUCGGGGCAGGGUGAGUCGACCCCUAAGGCGAGGCCGAAAGGCGUAGUCGAUGGGAAACAGGUUAAUAUUCCUGUACUUGGUGUUACUGCGAAGGGGGGACGGAGAAGGCUAUGUUGGCCGGGCGACGGUUGUCCCGGUUUAAGCGUGUAGGCUGGUUUUCCAGGCAAAUCCGGAAAAUCAAGGCUGAGGCGUGAUGACGAGGCACUACGGUGCUGAAGCAACAAAUGCCCUGCUUCCAGGAAAAGCCUCUAAGCAUCAGGUAACAUCAAAUCGUACCCCAAACCGACACAGGUGGUCAGGUAGAGAAUACCAAGGCGCUUGAGAGAACUCGGGUGAAGGAACUAGGCAAAAUGGUGCCGUAACUUCGGGAGAAGGCACGCUGAUAUGUAGGUGAAGUCCCUCGCGGAUGGAGCUGAAAUCAGUCGAAGAUACCAGCUGGCUGCAACUGUUUAUUAAAAACACAGCACUGUGCAAACACGAAAGUGGACGUAUACGGUGUGACGCCUGCCCGGUGCCGGAAGGUUAAUUGAUGGGGUCAGCGCAAGCGAAGCUCUUGAUCGAAGCCCCGGUAAACGGCGGCCGUAACUAUAACGGUCCUAAGGUAGCGAAAUUCCUUGUCGGGUAAGUUCCGACCUGCACGAAUGGCGUAAUGAUGGCCAGGCUGUCUCCACCCGAGACUCAGUGAAAUUGAACUCGCUGUGAAGAUGCAGUGUACCCGCGGCAAGACGGAAAGACCCCGUGAACCUUUACUAUAGCUUGACACUGAACAUUGAGCCUUGAUGUGUAGGAUAGGUGGGAGGCUUUGAAGUGUGGACGCCAGUCUGCAUGGAGCCGACCUUGAAAUACCACCCUUUAAUGUUUGAUGUUCUAACGU
rnacentral:rRNA from 1 species